rnacentral:rRNA from 1 species
GACAGAGGGUGCAAACGUUGCUCGGAAUCACUGGGCGUAAAGGGCGUGUAGGCGGGACGGUAAGUCGGGCGUGAAAUCCCUAGGCUCAACCUAGGAACUGCACUCGAAACUACCAUUCUUGAGUGUCGGAGAGGAAAGCGGAAUUCCUGGUGUAGCGGUGAAAUUGCGUAGAUAUCAGGAGGAACACCGGUGGUGAGUGAACG